rnacentral:rRNA from 1 species
AAGUCAGAUGUGAAUCCCCCGGGCUUAACCUGGGAACUGCAUCUGAAACUGUUAGGCUAGAGUAGGUGAGAGGGAAGUAGAAUUUCAGGUGUAGCGGUGAAAUGCGUAGAGAUCUGAAGGAAUACCGAUGGCGAAGGCAGCUUCCUGGCAUCAUACUGACACUGAGGCUCGAAAGCGUGGGUAGCAAACAGGAUUAGAUACCCUGGUAGUCCACGCCGUAAACGAUGUCUACUAGUCGUUGGGUCCCUUGAGGACUUAGUGACGCAGCUAACGCAAUAAGUAGACCGCCUGGGGAGUACGGCCGCAAGGUUAAAACUCAAAUGAAUUGACGG